rnacentral:rRNA from 1 species
UUGAACGCUGGCGGCAUGCUUUACACAUGCAAGUCGAACGGUAGACCCUUUCGGGGGUUGAGAGUGGCGAACGGGUGAGUAAUGUAUCGGAACGUACCUCGUCGUGGGGGAUAACGCAGCGAAAGUUGUGCUAAUACCGCAUACGUCCUGAGGGAGAAAGCGGGGGACCGUAAGGCCUCGCGCGAUGAGAGCGGCCGAUAUCUGAUUAGCUAGUUGGUGGGGUAAAGGCUCACCAAGGCGACGAUCAGUAGCUGGUCUGAGAGGACGACCAGCCACACUGGGACUGAGACACGGCCCAGACUCCUACGGGAGGCAGCAGUGGGGAAUUUUGGACAAUGGGGGCAACCCUGAUCCAGCCAUUCCGCGUGAGUGAAGAAGGCCUUCGGGUUGUAAAGCUCUUUCGGUGGGAACGAAACGGUACAGGCGAAUAACCUGUGCUAAUGACGGUACCCAAAGAAGAAGCACCGGCUAACUACGU